rnacentral:rRNA from 1 species
GACGAACGCGGGCGGCGUGCUUAACACAUGCAAGUCGAACGUGAUUUUUGUGGAAAUUCUUUCGGGAAUGGAAAUGAAAUGAAAGUGGCGAACGGGUGAGUAACACGUGAGCAACCUACCUUACACAGGGGGAUAGCCGUUGGAAACGACGAUUAAUACCGCAUGAGACCACAGAAUCGCAUGAUAUAGGGGUCAAAGAUUCAUCGGUGUAAGAAGGGCUCGCGUCUGAUAAGCUAGUUGGAAGGGUAAAGGCCUACCAAGGCGACGAUCAGUAGCCGGUCUGAGAGGAUGAACGGCCACAUUGGAACUGAGACACGGUCCAAACUCCUACGGGAGGCAGCAGUGGGGAAUAUUGCACAAUGGGGGGAACCCUGAUGCAGCGACGCCGCGUGAGCGAAGAAGGUUUUCGAAUCGUAAAGCUCUGUCCUAUGAGAAGAUAAUGACGGUAUCAUAGGAGGAAGCCCCGGCUAAAUACGUGCCAGCAGCCGCGGUAAUACGUAUGGGGCGAGCGUUGUCCGGAAUUAUUGGGCGUAAAGGGUACGUAGGCGGUUUUUUAAGUCAGGUGUGAAAGCGUGAGGCUUAACCUCAUUAAGCACUUGAAACUGGAAGACUUGAGUGAAGGAGAGGAAAGUGGAAUUCCUAGUGUAGCGGUGAAAUGCGUAGAUAUUAGGAGGAAUACCGGUGGCGAAGGCGACUUUCUGGACUUUUACUGACGCUCAGGUACGAAAGCGUGGGGAGCAAACGGG